rnacentral:rRNA from 1 species
UACGUAGGGGGCAAGCGUUGUCCGGAAUCACUGGGCGUAAAGGGUGCGUAGGCGGGUUUUUAAGUCAGAGGUGAAAUCCUGGAGCUCAACUCCAGAACUGCCUUUGAUACUGAAAGUCUUGAGUAUGGGAGAGGUGAGUGGAACUGCGAGUGUAGAGGUGAAAUUCGUAGAUAUUCGCAAGAACACCAGUGGCGAAGGCGGCUCACUGGCCCAUUACUGACGCUGAGGCACGAAAGCGUGGGGAGCA